AGUGAACGCUGGCGGUAGGCCUAACACAUGCAAGUCGAACGGCAGCACAGUAAGAGCUUGCUCUUACGGGUGGCGAGUGGCGGACGGGUGAGGAAUACAUCGGAAUCUACUUUUUCGUGGGGGAUAACGUAGGGAAACUUACGCUAAUACCGCAUACGACCUACGGGUGAAAGCAGGGGAUCUUCGGACCUUGCGCGAUUGAAUGAGCCGAUGUCGGAUUAGCUAGUUGGCGGGGUAAAGGCCCACCAAGGCGACGAUCCGUAGCCGGUCUGAGAGGAUGAUCAGCCACACUGGAACUGAGACACGGUCCAGACUCCUACGGGAGGCAGCAGUGGGGAAUAUUGGACAAUGGGCGCAAGCCUGAUCCAGCCAUACCGCGUGGGUGAAGAAGGCCUUCGGGUUGUAAAGCCCUUUUGUUGGGAAAGAAAAGCAGCAGGUUAAUACCCCGCUGUUCUGACGGUACCCAAAGAAUAAGCACCUGCUAACUUCGUG
rnacentral:rRNA from 1 species